UGUCUUUGUGAAAGGUGUCGAUGUCAAUUAUUGAAAUGUUAACAAUUGCAAGAGUCACUUUAAUGUUGUACAAAGAAAGAUCCAACCAACAUGGAUGUAGUAGAGUUGUGAAAGUCCCUUUGCCACCUGUGUCCUUUGCUUCAAUUACUCUCACUAGUUUUUCAUUACGAAUGUGUCAUGGUGAUUCAUGGCCAAGAUUGUUUAUGUGUAGUUUUGAUUCAUUCUUGAUGUCAGUUGUUUGUUCAUAUAAUGAUGAUGGGCCCCAUUGUUGUAUGAGCUCACCUAACGGUGGUCAGCUGAUAAAGAUGAUCAACUCUGCACUAAGCCAUCUUUAAGUGAUGAUAUAACUGGGGUAUUGAAGUCCCUUUUCCUUUCCUCAAAGUUGUGUAUAUAAAUGUUACGAUAUUCUUUCAACAUGAAAACAAAUGAGUGGAAAAAGUAGCUACAAAAGAAGAUGGAAAAAGUUUUGUUAUAUGCUACUUGAUUUAUUUCUGUUGUUCUUGUGAAAAUCUCAAUGGUUUUUAUUGGUGGUACUGAUUUUUGGUUUGUUUAUCGAAUGGCACAUUUAUUCAGCUAAAGGUUUACUUAUUGUCUUUGUGAAAGGUGUCGUGAUGUCAAUUAUUGAAAUGUUAACAAUUGCAAGAGUCACUUUAAUGUUGUACAAAGAAAGAUCCAACCAACAUGGAUGUAGUAGAGUUGUGAAAGUCCCUUUGCCACCUGUGUCCUUUGCUUCAAUUACUCUCACUAGUUUUUCAUUACGAAUGUGUCAUGGUGAUUCAUGGCCAAGAUUGUUUAUGUGUAGUUUUGAUUCAUUCUUGAUGUCAGUUGUUUGUUCAUAUAAUGAUGAUGGGCCCCAUUGUUGUAUGAGCCCACCUAACGGUGGUCAGCUGAUAAUCAAAGAUGAUCAACUCUGCACUAAGCCAUCUUUAAGUGAUGAUAUAACUGGGGUAUUGAAGUCCCUUUUCCUUUCCUCGAAGUUGUGUAUAUAAUAUAUCUGCUUUCAAGUUCAUAUCAACUUAAACUGCACUCAUAUCAUGAUAAAAAUAUAUGGAUAUUAGUAGAUAUUGUCUAUAGUUGAUUCAUUAUUUGUGUUAUUAAUUAUAUUAUCAAUCAUAUUAUUAAUUAUAUUAUUAAUUAUAUUAUUUCUUUGAAAGUAUUGUAUUGAAUGUGUAAUUAGUUUUGAUUAUUCCGACACAAGUAACAUUGAAUUGCUUCUUUGAUCUUCAUAUUAUGUACUUAUGAUUGAUAAGCCAUUUAUUAUGAUUGUAAAUUGUACAAUAAAUGAAUAGAUUCUACUUUGGACAAAUGCCAAAA